UAGUUCAUAGUAGUGGUUGAUGUUGAUUAUCAAGUUAUUUGGAAUCAGUUAAAAUUUUUAGGCCCGGCUUAACUCGUGCCAGCCGCCGCGGUUAUACGAUGGGGUCUAAUAAAAUCUUUUGGUGGAAUUAAGUAGAGUUUAUUUUUUAAAAUAAUUUUUUAACUAUUUAUUUAAGGGUGAAAUUUUUAAAUACAUACUAUAAUAAUUAUAAAAAAAUUUUAUAUCUUUUGAAAUAAAGGUUUAGACUAGGAUUAGAUACCCUAUUAUUCUUUAUUAUUAAGUGCCUGGGUAGUAGUGAUAUUUUUAAACCUAAAGAAUUUGGCGGUACUUCAUUCUUACUAGAGGAACCUGCUCUUGAAUCGAUAUUCCACGAUUAAAUUUACAUAUUUUUGUUUUCAGUUUGUAUACCGCCGUUGUCAGAUUAUUUUUAAAAAAUAUUAUCUAAUUAGCUUAUCGCUGUGACAUCAGGUCAAGGUGCAGCC
rnacentral:rRNA from 1 species